ensembl:lncRNA
CAGACAGACAAGUGACGAUUGAACAGAUGUGCAGUGGUUACAGAAUAGUUACAUGGAGCUCAUUAUCUGACCACACUGUUGGGCUCAUGGUGAGUGACAAACUUAAGGGAAGUCACUGAUUACAAUGUGGAAUAACACUGAGAUGUUAAAUAAUUUGGAACAAAUUAUGGGAAAAAGUAGGAGUUUAAUGAGUUUAGAAUAAACCUGCAAUGAUACUUGUCUCUGUGAUGCUGAAUACUUUAUUACUCUUAUGAUCUAUAGUUAGUUGCAAAUGUGAAGUUGUUUUAACUUUAAGACUUUGUCUUCUAGGAUACAGGAGCUGGGAGCUAAACAAGCUAAACAUUUAAUUGCUGACUAAUGUUUUUACACAGGGUUACAGCUUGGAGUGAAGCUGCUCCAAGGGGCCAACCCUGGAGAUUGUUUUAGGGAGACUGUGCAACAUUCUUGUACAUGUCUCAUUGGGGAGUUGACACAGGGCGAAAGCCGUGUGGCGAGAGGAGUGUCGUCUUUUUGAUUUGUAGAUGUCGUGAGGUGCCAUGACGAGAAGGAGUGACUCAGAGGAUCGUCCACAAGAUGGAAGCUGAGGCCUGGAGAGAGUCUUCAGGAGGAUCAGAGAUCACCUUCAGCACAGAGAGCUGUGCUACUGGGCUUCCAAAGGAUCGUCACGAGGAGACUUUGCACAGCAAAAUCUUAAAUAAGAUGAAAGAGUUUCGAUGUUGACGUUAAGGAAGACAACUACGGGGUACGACGUGCUCUGCCUUAAAUCUUCAGCAGCAUUGGAAAAUGGAACCUGAGGGAGCGUGCCAAGCUCCAAAAAGUGACAGCGCAGAGGAGGUCCAGCGAUGGACUUGUGGUUCUGUGAACAGCACAAAUGCCAGGAGCAGAGUCUGAAGUCUGGAGAUUGGAUGUUGAUAAGGCCAUGGAGAGGAAGUGCUGGUCCAGUCCAUGAUGGAAAGGUCCCUAUCGGGUGCUGCUGACAACGACCACAGCAGUGAAGAUUGCUGGAAGGAACACUUGGAUACAUCAAGCGCACUGCAAGAAGGUGACACACAUCCAGGCCAGCUCGGAGUAAGUGGCAGGAAGACCGGGAACAAAGGGUGGGGAAAGCCUCCAGGGCCCCUCGUCUCAAUCCGGUGAAGAAACCAACUGAGCCACAGGUACUCAUCAGAAUGGCUGGGAAUGUGCUGUGCAUCUUCUUGAGCCUGUGGACCCUGAGUGGGAUGACAGGGAGCGCACUGGAACAGAGCAAACCACACCCAUGGGUUUUCAACAACUACUGGUGGCAGUUUAAGAACACAACCGCUCACAUAAAGAACGAGACCAAUGGUUAUGCUUGUGAUGCCACUGGCUACACAUUCUUCUGGACUGUGGCCAUAUAGCAUCACUGAGAGCGAGACAGUUUGUUUGGUUGCUUUAGCAACACAUCCAGGAACACUGCCAACUUUUCAACUGCUCUGAACCUGAAUGGAAGGUUGAUUCACCAGUAGCUGGGAAGGUGAACUGCUCUGGUAAGACAGACCUGCUCAUCUGACUUAAAGAAUAUCAAAAUCAAAUCAAAUCACUUUUAUUGUCACAUCACAUGUGCAGGUACAUUGGUACAGCACAUGUGAGUGAAAUUCUUGUGUGCGAGCUUCACAAGCAACAGAGUUGUGCAAAAUACAAUAAUGUAAACAAGCAAAAUACAAGAAUGGCUACAUCUGAAACUAAUAAAUAUAUGUACAAUAUAUAAUAGUAUAUGCAUUUCUGGAUGUGUAUACUAAAUAUUUUUCUACGUGUGUGUGUGUGUGUGUGUGUGUGUGUGUACACAUAUUUUACAAAUUAAAUAGAGUAAAAUAAAAUAUAUAAAAUAAAUAAAAUAAAAUAUACAGAGUGAGACAUGUGCAAAACAGUGGCGUUACUGUACAGUAUGGAGUGCAUAAUGUUAAAGUUCCAGUAGUGAAGCUGAGGUGUCUAUGACGUGUUCAGCAGUCUGAUGGCCUGGUGGAAGAAGCUGUCUCUCAGUCUGCUGGUUCGGGACCGGAUGCUGCAGAACCUCCUUCCUGAUGGAAGCAGUCUGAACAGUUUAUGGCUGGGGUGACUGGAGUCCUUGAUGAUCCUCCCCGCUUUCCUCAGGCACCGCUUCCUGUAGAUGUCUUGGAGGGAGGGAAGCUCAUGACUCAUGAAUAUGACUUGUAGCAGGACAUUAUUUAGUUAAACGAACUGGAAACAGGCCAAUUGCCUAUGUGUAUGAAGGACAAUGGAUUAGUCCAAGUUGGAGAUUUACCAUGGAACAUGGCAACAUCACCUAUUCUUUUGUCUUCUGCAAGAAGGAUGUAAACAGAGAAGGUUUUUGUCUACGUUUACAUCAUGAACACUUGAGGUUUUGAGCCAAGAAGAUCAAAACAGCUUGAUCCAAUUUCCUUUACAAAGCUUUUUCUGUGGUGACAACAGGACAGGAGAAGAGUUGUAAAUGCAGAUUAUUCACCAGUUGACUCUAACCCCCACAGGAUGCCUACAGUGAGAAGAUUUGGGGGGUUGAUAGGAGUCAUAAAGAAGGGUGUUGACCAGGCUGCAGCUUUGAAGCUAGCUGAGAGCCACAUGGACAAACAAUAAAGUCAACUGAUGUGUUUAAAUACAUAUGUCUAUAUACAGUUGGAUUGUAGUGACAUAUGAUUUUUGAGAAUGAUGAUUCUUCUUGUUCGACUUUUGACAUUCAGUUGUUUACUUGCAGAAAUACAUAAUGAAUCGCACGACAGGAGUAGAUCCGCCACAAGGCUGGAUAGGUUGGUUACUGUCUGGUCCUUGGUGGCAUCUUCUUUUGAAAAUAUUAAUUCCUGCUUUUGUAUUGUUGAUAC